UAUGAUGCAUUGUCUCGACUAAUGGCUAACAGGAGGCUGCGGCAAUUUUGCAAUGGCUAUACUGCUAUCCUGCCUUGGUUAUGAUGCUAUGUUUUCAAUGGGAUUCAUUUUCUUGCACCAACAGUUUCUCCAGGGAGAAGUUAUUUCCUUUUUUGGCUACUGGAGGUGUGCGAACACUUGUUCUGCAUCUGAUUACAUCAACAUGUUUAUUGUUCUUAGUUGUUUUCCUAAUGAAGUGUUUUGGACCUCCAUAUUAAGUUCCUUUUUAUGUGCUUUCCUGAGCUUCAUUCCUUUUCAGUUUCUAUUUUUCAAAAGGGUUCCUGUUGUUUGGACUAUUUUGCUCCGUUAUUGCUACGGC
rnacentral:lncRNA from 1 species